rnacentral:rRNA from 1 species
AAUGAACGUUGGUGGCGUGGAUUAGGCAUGCAAGUCGUGCGAGAAGGCCCCGCAAGGGGCCGGACAGCGGCGAACGGGGUAGUAAGGCGUCGGUACGUGCCCUGGGGUCCGGGAUAGCGGCGGGAAACUGCCGGUAAUACCGGAUGACCUCUCCGGAGCAAAGGUGUGAUUCCGCCCUUGGAGCGGCUGACGUGAUACCAGCUAGAUGGCGGGGUAACGGCCCACCAUGGCUAAGACGUCUAGGGGGUGUGAGAGCAUGGCCCCCACCACUGGGACUGAGACACUGCCCAGACACCUACGGGUGGCGGCAGUCGAGAAUCUUCGGCAAUGGGCGCAAGCCUGACCGAGCGACGCCACGUGCGGGAUGACGGCCCUCGGGUUGUAAACCGCUGUCGGGGGGGAUGAAGUCACGCGGGGCAAUCCCCGCGUGUUGACAGAGCCCCGGAGGAAGCGCGGGCUAAGUACGUGCCAGCCGCCGCAGUAAGAC